ACUAAUUACAAGAACCAGGGGCGGAAAUUCCAGCCCUCUCGAUUGUUACGUAGCACGGACAGACUAUACGCCUGAUGGUCGUUCCCCAUCGGGCCUGAAAACCGCAAUACGCUGGGUAACAAUCUUCGAUUUCGGGAUCAACGGAUAACGCUGCCGCCAGCU
rnacentral:sRNA from 1 species